UAAUUUGUAUCUGUCUACUCAACUCAAGAUAUUUUUUGAGUGGCUUUUAAUUUUAGAGAAAAAUAGUAAUAAGAGAUUCUCCUUUCUUCUGCCAGUUCCCAACCUUCUUGCUGCUGCCGACAAAGUGGUUUUAGAUUGCCUACUUCUCAUGUUGUUCAUACUGUUGGACCAAUCUACAAUUCUAAUAGUAACCCUGCUUCUCUUUCAAGUGCUUAUAGGAAUAGUUUGAGGGUUGCGAAGGAUAAAAACAUUCAGUAUAUAGCAUUCCCAACUAUAUCAUGUGGUGUCUUUGGACAAGUUAGUUCGCUCACAAAUAUGAAUGGUCAUUAUUAGAUAUCCUUAUGAUGAGGCUGCCACGGUAGUGAUUUCUGUCGUCAGGGAGUUUCGAAAUGAGUUUAAGGAGAUCCACUUUGUUAUGUUCUUGCAAGAUAUUUAUCAAGUUUGGGUAAAUAAGACAAAUGAUCUGAUGAAAAAUUAGCACCGUAGAAUCAUGGAGAGUCAACUAUUUCAAUGGCUGUAUAUUAGAAUA